AGGAAAUGCUUACUUCAGUAACAGUAACAGGUGUUGCAGAUUAACUUGUAUAUUGUCCUGAACAAUGAUACUCUUUGUUUUUAUUUUGCUCUUUUCUCUUGCAGGUGAUAUUUUGGGGAAUGUCAUCACACCGGUCUACAGUGAAGUAUACAGAACAGAAAAGGACAUUACAUCUCUCUCCUGUAACUACUCCUCAGCGACGAGUCUAUAUUGGUAUCGUCAAUAUCCCAGAUCGGCUCCUGAAUUUCUUUUAGUCAUUCUACAUGCUACUGGAAAUGUUUUACAGAAGUCUGAAGUUGUGGAACUAGAUCCUCGAUUCUCUGGAAAACUGAAUAAAGAGAAAACCCACACGUAUCUCGAAAUCUCCUCUGCUAAAGUGACAGACUCUGCUCUGUACUACUGUGCCCUGGAGCCCACAGUGACAGGAAAACAAACAACACUGUACAAAAACCUUUCCUACACAGAGGGUAAAGCAUAUCACAGUCAACUGCAUCACAGUCAAUCAGCAGAAAUAUGGGAAAUAAAAUAAAUAAAUAAAAAUAAAAUGCAACCUAAUGUUUCUG